rnacentral:lncRNA from 1 species
AUCAACAGUCCCAACACCUACCACAAUAUCAAUCCCCCUACUUCCACCAAUCCCAACACUUCCAACACGACAAUUUCCCAAGCUCUUCCAGUCCUCCACCUAGCCCCGACACGGGUCUACAAGAGGACUACCAACAUGACUACUACACACCCCAACAAACAUUGCACUUUGGCCAACCCGAUUCAACCCUAAACUACCAAAGACCACAUUUCGAGGGCGCACCCAGCAGUAGUCAGUUUGUCCCACCGAGAC